rnacentral:rRNA from 1 species
GACAGCAGUCGCCACGGGAAUACGAAGGGGGCUAGCGUUGUUCGGAAUUACUGGGCGUAAAGCGCACGUAGGCGGAUAUUUAAGUCAGGGGUGAAAUCCCAGAGCUCAACUCUGGAACUGCCUUUGAUACUGGGUAUCUUGAGUAUGGAAGAGGUGAGUGGAAUUCCGAGUGUAGAGGUGAAAUUCGUAGAUAUUCGGAGGAACACCAGUGGCGAAGGCGGCUCACUGGUCCAUUACUGACGCUGAGGUGCGAAAGCGUGGGGAGCAAACAGGAUUAGAUACCCGAGUAGUCCCUGUCUCUUAUAC